AUGAACGCUGGCGGCGUGCCUAAUACAUGCAAGUCGAGCGAACAGACGAGGAGCUUGCUCCUCUGACGUUAGCGGCGGACGGGUGAGUAACACGUGGAUAACCUACCUAUAAGACUGGGAUAACUUCGGGAAACCGGAGCUAAUACCGGAUAAUAUAUUGAACCGCAUGGUUCAAUAGUGAAAGACGGUUUUGCUGUCACUUAUAGAUGGAUCCGCGCCGCAUUAGCUAGUUGGUAAGGUAACGGCUUACCAAGGCAACGAUGCGUAGCCGACCUGAGAGGGUGAUCGGCCACACUGGAACUGAGACACGGUCCAGACUCCUACGGGAGGCAGCAGUAGGGAAUCUUCCGCAAUGGGCGAAAGCUUGACGGAGCAACGCCGCGUGAGUGAUGAAGGUCUUCGGAUCGUAAAACUCUGUUAUUAGGGAAGAACAAAUGUGUAAGUAACUAUGCACGUCUUGACGGUACCUAAUCAGAAAGCCACGGCUAACUACGUGCCAGCAGCCGCGGUAAUACGUAGGUGGCAA
rnacentral:rRNA from 1 species